AGAGGGCCCUACGGAGGGAGAGUGCCCGCGGCCCACCCACACUCCCCCCUCCCCCUCCAAAAAAAAGUGCACCCUAAAAUACACAAAAAGGCACAGAAAAAGGCGUUACAUCCCACAGCACCCCUCCAGGCUCCAUUUUGGUCCUGCCUCCCCAGCCACCCAGGUACUGACCCCAGUAAAGGCCAGGUGAUACCGCGUUAAAAUAAUGGCAGCUGGAUGUGAGUGGACAUUUGUUGAGUCUCUCCUGUCACAGUUUUCGAUCUCCAUCAUCAUAUAACCAUAGAAGAGUUACAGUUGGAAAAGACCUCUAAGAUCAUCAAAUGCAACUGUUGACCCAUCAUUAUCAUGUUCACCACUAAACCAAGUCACUAAGUGCCACAUGCUUUUUUGAAUGCUUCCAGGGGCAGUGAUUCCAACACUUCCCUGGGUCUAUGUGUCAGAGAGUAGACUUCAGUUUGUACCUCAUCAUUCUGGGAGAUGGAGGGGUUUCUGUCCCUCCCUGGGGACAGUCCUCUCAGUUUUACACCUGAUUCUGCUUUCAAAUGUAACUAUUCUCCCCACAUCCUCCCAAGAAAAGGCAUGGAUUUAACACACCUUGAAACCCUCUUGACAAGUAACUGAGCUGUCCUGAGGUUGCUUGACUGCAUAAUGCAAAGGCAGCUUCUCUCACAUGCACUUGCAGCUGGAAGAAUUUCUCCCACUUUUAAGACCUCUACAGCUGUGCACAAACAAGGAAAUCUUUAUAAGAGGAGUGGACACAGUCAUAAACUUGAACAAAUACAGCAGCAGUCUCUAUACGCAAAUAAAAACCCCUAUCCUCUCCUAUUAAGUCCAACACUAAUUUACUGAAGCAUUUUCCCAUCAAGCUGAAGUAUUUUCCUACAUCAUUUCACCCUGAUGACAAACCCCACUCACUAUUCAGACAGCAAGUUUGGAUUUUGGGGAAACUUUAUAGAGAAAAGAAGCACUUCCCUGGAAUACAGUCAUCUCUUCUGCCUCUAUCAGCCUGCAAAGUCUUCAGAAAACACAGAUUCUUAUAACACAGCCCUUUUUCCAUGCAAAAUGAUGCCUUUGGGACCAAUGUCUCUUCUUGUACAAGUUCUCUGUGGAAUAUCUCACAAGUUUUAGGAGCAAUUGAUUUUUAUUACACAGCCAAGAAACAUUCAUGCUUUCCUCAAAACCUCUUGAGAAUCGGUUCCCCAGCAGAAAUGUGUGUCCUUAUAUAACUACAUUGAGUUACCAAGUGUCUCUAAACUAAUUGUGUGUCACAAAGUACAAAUAUUCUUGUGUGAUGAUAAAAGACCAUAUGGAAUUGUCUACUCCUUUUCUGCAGGAAUGUGUGUAUGUGUGUAUGCAAGAUGACAUGAGCUUACCCUAAGGCAUGGGGGGAAGUAAUUACGUAAAAUAUUCCAAAUGCCAGGUAUGUCAUCCCUAUUGGUAAUAUGUCAUGUGUCGCCCUGUGAAGAUACAAAUGAGAGAUAGAUCUUUUGAGUUUGAUAUAAUAUAUGUGCAAUGAAUAUGUAUUAUGACUAUGAUUUAUAAAAUGUAGUAAUGCUCUUAGGAAUGUUCUGGACUGAACAAACUUCACUGUCUGCAGAAAAAAGUGCUAAUCAAGAGAUACCAUGCACAGGUCACUGCACAGAAUCUUUCAAUUGGGCAAGUAAUUCAUUGACUAUAUGUCCAUUUUACAUCUGAGACCCAGUUCUGAAAAAAAUGGAAGGAAUAAGGUAAGAUGUUACAGCCUUGUCUGGCUGCAUUCCUGUUGCAUAAAAGAACCAAAAAGAAUGAGGAAGACAGCUCCGGAGCAAUGCAGGGAAAAAGAGACAGAGCUGAAAGGCAAAACCGGAGGUUGGAUUUCAUACCUGGCUCUGUAUGUUAAAUGGGACCAGAAAAUGUCCAAAUGCCAGGACAGCAGGAGACAUCCUUUGACCUUGGAAAAACUCUUAUUGGCACCACACGUCUAAUUAUUUGUAGUACAAUAACAACAUUACGAAGAGAAAGGAAAAAGAAAUAGGAUUAAGAAGUUCAAAGCAAACCAAAAAAUCUUGCAUUUCUGAAAAUGUAUAAACCAGACCUUUUUGUCAGGGCACAAUCAUGCUCUCUGCAUCUAGACAAGACGACUAUUGUAUCCAGGGCUGAGUCCAUGGAAAUAUGUCUGGGCUUCACAUCUCAGCUGAGAAACUGAAGAGACUAUUGGGAAACUCACAACUUUAGUGCAGAAAAUUCAGGAUUGGUCAUAGUCUGAAGAAGGUUUUUAAAGCUAUUUUGUUUCUUUGACAGAAAAUCAGGGAAGAAAGACAAUAAGAUAGGAGGAGGGAAAGUUUGAGCACAGGAUUGGGAACAAAACGCUUCUACUUUGAAGCCAUGAUAUCUUAUUCUUCAAUAGCUUGGCACAAGUCAGUAGGUCAUUCUACCUUGCCUGUCUCCCUCAGUGCAGGAGGGAGCAGAACACUGUGGAGCAUUGGACAAUCUGAAAUACCAAGGAAGCUUGUCCGUGGAAGAGUACGCAUGACUCCAGCAUGGUCAGUGGAACAUCACAGAUUUACUGCAGGCCUACAGCCUAGUGUGAGAGGCCCUAAAAAUGCUGUUCUGCUUGGGUAUGGGGAUGUACAUGUAAAAGUUUUUGGUAAAACCUGCACUGCAUUACCUAUUUAGGUGGAGGAAAAUAGUAACACUGCCUUCCCCAAAGAAACAGCUCAUAGCAAUUUGGGACCUGAUCCUUAAUCCAAUAAAGUAAAAAAUAUUCCUGCUGUUUCAUUUGUUGCAGGUACUUGGUAUUAUUUUUGUUACUGUCCAAUUGUUAUUAAUUCUUUUACAAUCUUUCUACUCUCUUACCCUGGUUCAUUUGUCAAUACUUUAUAUGUAACACUCCUAGUAACAUAGCACAAUAAAAAUCAAAAUAUA